UUUCUUCUGCCCCAGGAUCCUUGUUUCUACUCAUUCUCCUCCUAAGAAAACCUCCUUAUGGUUAACUCCAACUUGAAUAAGGAAGUGUGUGAAGGACAGGUCCAAGCUGUUGUUCCUCUUCAAGAUGUAGUAGCUAUCAAUAUUUUCCUCAUGCUAUAUAAAACCAGCUUCCACCAACACAGAUUUCAGUAAGUGAUCCCACAAUCAUCUGGCCAAUGCACACGUUCAUUCCAUUGAACACUGUCCCACAAAUUCUGCAGACUUGCUGGGAACUACAGCUGCCUGAACACACUGCCUACAGCAUUGCUCAGGAGAAGUAUCAUGGAUAACAGUCUAAUGGUUUUCCUUAAAUAUCUUGCCAAAUAAACAUCUCCCUAGAAAAUCAUAUUGCAAAUUGAAAUAAACACUACAAAUAAAUGAAGUAUUUUCAUUUUCUGGAAUCAGAACAAUGUCUUUGAUAAAUAGACACAAUCUGGUUACAUAAUCUACUUCAGGUUAAGAUCACUUUAAUAUUGUUUUGCAUUCUCUACUUCAGCUGCCUGUUCCUAUAUGAUGCUUAUUAUCAGAAAAGCAAGCAAUUACCGAGACA